UACGAAGGGGGGCUAGCGUUGUUCGGAAUCACUGGGCGUAAAGCGCACGUAGGCGGAUCUUUAAGUCAGGGGGUGAAAUCCCGAGGCUCAACCUCGGAACUGCCUUUGAUACUGGGGAUCUCGAGUCCGGGAGAGGUGAGUGGAACUGCGAGUGUAGAGGUGAAAUUCGUAGAUAUUAGGAAGAACACCGGUGGCGAAGGCGGCCCACUGGAUCGGUACUGACGCUGAGGUGCGAAAGCGUGGGGAGCAAACAGG
rnacentral:rRNA from 1 species